ACUUAUGUUCUCCCUAGUGCUGCAAGGGAGCCACAAUGAUGUAUCAAGAUGUGGCUGCUGGUUAGCCGAAACUGGAUGGCCCUAUAUUACAUAUAGUGUCCUAUGGGUCACCCCUCUAUGUGUUAGAUUUCCUUUGUUGAACCAUUUAUGUUGUAACCCAUCUUUGUAUUAUAUUGUUAUGUCUUAAGCACUUAGCAGCUAUAAAUUUCUUUGUCGUAUGCAUGUCAUCGCUAUCUAUAACUUCUAUUAAUAGUCACAAGUAGCUUUGGUACCUCAAGUAUUAUGGUUGUCGAAUAAUUUGUAUCAUGUUAGUACCAAUACGUCAAGUUGUCUGAAAAUAUAAUUUAUGUUCACAACACUAAUUUAUCAAUCUGGAAAGUACUGAUGAUCUUUCUUAUCUACUUAAUUAGUUAUUUGAAAGUGAAAUUUGUACCACAUACACCUACAUUAAUAUAAUCAAGUGUAUCCAGUAAUUUUUUAUCUUUGUCUAUAUUGUUAUAAACCACUAUUAGAUAUAUAUUAUUAACAACUUUGUUCCAGCAUUGUAGCUAAUUUUUAAGUCUUCCAAUUUCUCGUACCACCUAUCUAUAUAAGUUAAAAAUGACAUUUGUAUUGUAGUCAUAAUGACUCAAGUUAUAUUAACUCUUCCACAUAAUAGAUAAAAAUAAUUUUAUCCACUAACAUUUAACUGAAGAAGCUAUUUCACAUAUUAACAACAAUUUAUAUCACUAGGCGUUAACAGAUUAGUUAAAAGCCUUUAAUAAAUAAAUAUACAUGAUGCGUAUACAGUUACCAUCAACAUAUAUGUAUAUUUUCAGCAACAAGCCUAAUCGGUAGUCUGCCAUAAGAUAUUUUCAACCAAAUAUGGCAAAAUCUUCUACAGUCUAUAGUAUGAUUCAUGAAAUAAUAUGUGGUGUAAAAUCAACCAACAAGCAAAACUAUAUCUGAACAGAAACCUAUCAUAUAUCUAGACCAUAUCCCUCGACCACUUACGGCUGUACUAUAAUUGUCAACGUGGCCAAGCAAAAAUGAUAGAAUCGGAAACACGAGAAAAUAGCUACAGAAAAAUUGAGUUUUUCACGCAUAUGGAUAUAGCUCUUACCGAGUACAUGGGAAAAGAAGAGAGAAUGACAAGAAAUGUGUUUGAAUUAUAAGAUUAAGGUUGUAGUCAACGCUUGAGUUUUGCCACAUAGAGUAAGGAGCAGUGAAAGGGAAUCAUAGGUAGACGGAGGUGAGUAGGUAGGAGGUGUGAACCACAUUUUCGGUGGAGAGAUCGGAUUUGGCGGAGAAUCACAACGUCGGUGGCCUUGCCGAGACACCAAAUAGGAAUUGUAUGUUGUUUUGGAAUGAAAGGUAAUAUUUAGAAUAGUCAUACUUAUAAAGUUAUAUCCGGCUAAACUACCAUUUUAAUCAUAUACAUUAAGAUUUGUUAAAAAGCUAAUUCUAUGUUAGCCAAACACGUAAAUCUAAUCAUAUUUUUGUGAUUUAUUAGACA